UUGCUUCUUCUUGAACGUCGAUCGCCUCCUCCUUCCCGGCUCUCUAACCAAGGCUAUAAAUACGUCCUACCCUCGUCUUGUUUCCCCACUCUUUCAUUCUUUUUUUGGUUCGAUUUCUUGGCAGAUUUCUACGCUUCCAUUCUACUCUCUCCUUUUCGAGGCCGGUCGCUUCCGAUAUUCCUUGCCGGUGAUGCGUUGGUGAGGGGAAGGGGCCAUGGGGGGCCUGGAAGGAGUGUGCACCGAGGAGAGCGUUGGAGGGACGGACGUCUGGAGUGCCUCCGACGCCGCCGCCUCCACUGCGGAUCAUCUCGUGGUGAUGGUUCAUGGAAUUCUUGGGAGCACCACUGACUGGAAAUUUGCAGCCGAUCAGUUUGUUAGGAUGCUUCCAGACAAAGUAAUAGUUCAUUGCAGUGAACGGAACAUGCAUAAGCUUACAUUAGAUGGUGUGGAUAUUAUGGGGGAGCGUUUAGCAGCAGAGGUCCUUGAAGUCAUUGACAGAAGACCAGAAAUUCGGAAGAUUUCUUUUAUUGCACACUCUGUGGGAGGAUUAGUUGCAAGAUAUGCAAUUGGGAGACUGUACAGGCUUCGAAAAAAGCCCCUAGAAGAUCUUCCAAAUGAUACUUCUGAUGACAAUUUAAGAGGUACCAUAGGUGGUCUAGAAGCUAUGAAUUUUAUAACUGUUGCUACGCCUCAUCUUGGUUCUAGGGGGAACAAACAGGUUCCAUUUCUUUUUGGCGUCAUAGCUAUUGAAAAAGUUGCUUCUCUUGUAAUUCACUGGAUAUUUAGAAGAACUGGAAGACAUCUUUUUCUCACUGACAAUGAUGAUGGAAAUCCUCCUCUGUUGCAGCGCAUGGUGGAUGAUUGGGAUGACCUCUACUUUAUGUCUGCCCUGGAAGCAUUUAAACGUCGGGUGGCAUAUUCAAAUGUUGGCUAUGAUCAUAUUGUUGGAUGGAGGACAUCAUCUAUCAGACGCAACUCUGAAUUGCCUAAGUGGGAGGAUUCUUUAAGUCAGAAGUAUCCACACAUUGUAUAUGAAGAGCGAUCAAAAGGAGAGUGUACAAAUGGUUCUCCCAUAGAUGCUGAUUGUGAUAUGUUAGAAGGAACUUGUUCCAUAACCAUUUCAAUCUGUCUCUGUAACUUCAAGUUGUUGCUACAAAAAAGCUGGUUACAGGCCUCACACGAUUGUCAUGGGAAAGAGUAGAUGUCAGCUUUCAUAGCAGCAAACAGAGGUUUGCUGCACACAGUGUCAUUCAGGUCAAGGAUUCCUUCGUUCACUCAGAAGGUGCAGAUGUUAUACAUCACAUGAUCGAUCACUUCCUUACCUAAGGCAGCAUAUAAUAGCCUGCAGUUCCAGGGCAGUCGAGUUGUAAAUCCAUUUGUUGCUCCAGGCAAGAAGGUAGAUGUCAUAUAGAUUUUCGUAUUCUUUCUAUUGAGCCCGGGAAUUGUAAUUUAUACUGCCUUGAGUUACAACCGUUUGUAUCCAUAACAUUAUUUUUGGGUAUCCAACCUCAGCCCUGAGAUGCGUUGGACCUUUGCCAGGGAAUAUAGUUCUAAGAGCUCAUGUCGGUAUCUUAGGAUUUUUUUUUCAAAAUAUUAUUUUUUAAUA